rnacentral:lncRNA from 1 species
UUAAAUCCAAGAAGCUCACGAGCCAUGGGGACACCACCACUUUGAGUACAAUAGCAUACAGAGUAGGACAGUCCUUUGCCAAGGACACAGCCACACUAUCCAGCAUAAAUCUAAAGACAUAUCUUUCCACUCAGCUAAAGAUGGCUCAGAGCUGUACUGUCAUGUGGGUACUCAACACACCCUGACCUUUUAGGUCAAGGAUAUCAGUUUCAACUUGAGCAUAUUUUUUUAGUAAGACCAGAUGGAAAUGAUACCACAUGCUGGUCCAGCUGAGUGAGUGGACUUUGGUCCCAGCAAUUGUCUGUCCCAACGUGUUCCUUUGAGCUGAUGUAAUAACCAGAGAGUCUAAAAGUGAGAACUAGAAAUGCAGAGUGUGGCUAGGCCCUACGGAACACUUUUUCCCUCUGAAUAAUAUACAUGGCAGUUUUCAUUUUGGCCAGGUAAAAAAGAUAUUUUUGAUGCAGAGUCUGAUUUGAUGGGAUAAGUCUGACCUUAGGUGUGCUACUACGUUUUAUAGGUCGAAGUUGGAUAAAAUGGUUUUUAGGGCUCCUUCCUUGUACAUGUUAGUGGUGUGACAGGUUACUAGGUCAUAGUAAAAUGAACACUUUUGGAAGACUCCUUAAACACCUGAGCUCUUUGGUUAAACUAGAAUCUCACUUAAAGCAUACUCCUACUAGUCUAAAGGAAUACACUGACCAGAUUAAUCUGCCAAUCUUACUGCUGAUGAGUGGCUUGGCUGUUGGAAUAGCUUUCAUAUCCCCAGCACUCUAACCUCACAAAUGUCAAGGAUGAUCACUGCUUUUUAUAG